GAUGAACGCUAGCUACAGGCUUAACACAUGCAAGUCGAGGGGAAACGGCAUUUAGUGCUUGCACUGAAUGGACGUCGACCGGCGCACGGGUGAGUAACGCGUAUCCAACCUUCCCAUUACUGUGGGAUAACCUGCCGAAAGGCAGACUAAUACCGCAUAGUCUUCGAUGACGGCAUCAGAUUUGAAGUAAAGAUUUAUCGGUAAUGGAUGGGGAUGCGUCUGAUUAGCUUGUUGGCGGGGUAACGGCCCACCAAGGCGACGAUCAGUAGGGGUUCUGAGAGGAAGGUCCCCCACAUUGGAACUGAGACACGGUCCAAACUCCUACGGGAGGCAGCAGUGAGGAAUAUUGGUCAAUGGGCGCGAGCCUGAACCAGCCAAGUAGCGUGCAGGAUGACGGCCCUAUGGGUUGUAAACUGCUUUUGUAUGGGGAUAAAGUUAAGGACGUGUGACUGUUUGCAGGUACCAUACGAAUAAGGACCGGCUAAUUCCGUGCCAGCAGCCGCGGUAAUACGGAAGGUCCAGGCGUUAUCCGGAUUUAUUGGGUUUAAAGGGAGCGUAGGCCGGAUAUUAAGUGUGUUGUGAAAUGUAGACGCUCAACGUCUGACUUGCAGCGCAUACUGGUUUCCUUGAGUACGCACAACGUUGGCGGAAUUCGUCGUGUAGCGGUGAAAUGCUUAGAUAUGAACGAAGAACUCCCGAUUGCGAAGGCAGCUGGACGGGAGCGCGACUGACGCUUAAGCUCGAAGGUGCGGGUAUCAAACAGG
rnacentral:rRNA from 1 species